CGCCACCAGUGUGGCGCUCGUUUUGAGCGCCACAGGUGUGGCGCGGCGUGGCCGCCGGCGCGCCGAUCCAAACUAGCCCUAUGUAUCUGCGCACCGUUUAACAUGUCGCCGCCGGUUGGAAUUCCCUACUCCAUUCCGAGCUGCCGCCAUCGCCACCACUGCGCCGCCAAUUCGAAUCGGAUCCCCACUCCGUUCCGAGCUGCCGCCAUCGCCACCGCUGCGCCGCCGAUUCGAAUCGGAUCCCCACUCCUUUCCAAACUGCCGCCAUCGCCACCGCUGCGUCGCCAAUGGGCUCGACGUGCCUGUCGUGCGGCGAGGGCGCGGUGGUGGCAGACGCGGACUCGGGCGUGCUCGUCUGCACCUCAUGCGGCAUCAUCCAGGACGCCGGCGGCGCGGAGUUCGUCCACCAGUCCACCUUCAACGAGUCGGGGGGCCUCGAUCGCCGCGUCUCCUCCCUCGUCCGCAACGACUCCGACUCCGCCUACCGCGACCAGAAGCUCGCCAUCGCCACCGCGGGCAUCACCUCCAUCGCCACCCGCCUCGGCCUGUCCCACACCCGCGCCGAGGAGGCGCUCCGCAUGGCCAAGUCCGCCACCGACGGCCAGCUCGCCACCCCGGGCAGCGCCUUCCUCCCUGCCCUCGCCGCCGCCUGCGCCCUUCUCGUCGCGCGGUCCCACCGCCUCCCGCUCUCCCUCGCCGAGGCCGCGGAGGCCGCCUUCUGCUCCGCGCCCGCCCUCGCCGACCUGGUCUCCCGCGUCACCGCCCAGCUAUCCCUCCCUCCCCUCCCAUGCUUCGACUACACCGCCGCGCUCGACCGUGCCGUGCACCUCUCGACCUCGCUCAACGCCGCCGCGCCCGACAAGACGGACGCCAUUCUCGCCCAGGCCCGGUUCCUCUUCCGCUGCGCAUCCAAGUGGUCGCUCACCACGGGGCGGUUUCCACUUCCCCUCGUCGCGGCUCUGCUCGCCUUCUCUGCGGAGGUGAACGGGGUCACUUCUGUCUCUUUGGAGGACAUUGCAAGGGACAUCUCGGCAGGAUUGAGGACCAGCCUGCUCCGAUACAAGGAGCUCGUUGACGCCCUGGUGCAUGUCGCGGGGCACCUGCUUCCAUGGGGUGCCGAUGUCAAUGCCAAGAACCUGCUCCUCAACGCUCCGGUCUUGCUCCGGCUCAUGGAGAUGCGGUCACAAUCGGACCCUUCUGAAGAGUUUCUUAUGAGCUGCGCUCCGAACAUUGCUGCAAUUGUGCAGGCUAACUCUAAAGUUGAUGACGAAGUGUCUAAAUACCUUCACAUUACUCCAGUGGGUUCUGAUGACUUUGAUUUCGAUAAUCUUGAGCCAGAGGAGAAAGAAUUUGAAAAUCAGAAUAUCUCAGAGAAGGGCCUAUCAGAUGCUUACCAAAAUGUCUUAAAUAGGCUUGCCCAGCUACAGAAACUUGGGAAGGUUGGUAAAGGUACUGACAGGAGGAAGCGAUUGAAAGGAGGACUGGAGCUGGAGCCAUGCAUGGACACAGUGAAUAAUGGUUGGAGAAAGGACAUGCUGCUUGAGGAUGUGGUGGAUAUUGACGUUGGCUAUGAUGCACCUCCACCAUCGUUUACUGCUGGUUUGGAGUUGCAGAAGCAGAGGAGAGCACGUAUUGAAGCUGCUAAGCAGCGAAUUGAUGCAACUAGGAAGGCUCCUGCUGCUCCAGCUGCAAAAGCAAAUAACUCAGAAGACGUUGUAAGAAAAAAAUUGACCAUGAAGAAUCGAGGGGGAAAGAAGAAGGAUGAUAUCGAUCAUAUCCUUCCCAGUGACAAUAUGACAGGUUGUUCAGGUGCUAGGAAAAAGAGACGAAGAGGUUCCUGUGACAGUAUUGAUUGGGAAGAUUGCAUCAUUGAGCUCCUGCUACUGCAUGGUGCAAAUGAAGCUGAGAUUGAACAAGGCCAGUACAGAAGAUUGUUGGAGUUGCAUGUAUUCAGUGCAGUAAGUGGGGAGAAUUGAAAAAUGAAGCCCGACUCGCCGCCCAGCACCGUCGUCUGCAAAGCCAGCUGCCGAGUCCAGGAUCCAACACAUUCUACCCCUGCUUAAUUCUCAAGUGUUCGCCGUUGCCUUCGCUGUAUUAGCUGCUGGUGCUAUAGUUCUGACACUCAAUGUUCUACUGCUGGGUGGGAACAUCAUCUUCUUCCAAAGCCUCAGUCUUCUCGGAUACUGUCUGUUCCCGCUGGACGUGGGGGCUCUGAUUUGCAUGCUUAAGGACAGCGUCAUACUAAAGAUGGUUGUGGUGACGGUAACAUUGGCAUGGAGCUCUUGGGCAGCAUACCCCCUCAUGAGUGCUGCUGUUAACCCAAAGAGAAAGGCCCUGGCGCUGUAUCCCGUGUUCCUCAUGUAUAUCUCAGUUGCAUGUCUCAUAAUUGCUAUAGAUUAAGGCGGGCAUGGUUUCUACAGAACUAACAGAAGAAUUACAGGAUUUUGUUUUCUAGCUGGAUCAUCAAAAUGCAUAUUAUUUUCUUUUUUUGGCUGCGUAUAGAUCUGGGUUCACAUUGUUAUUGUAGUUUUUGCUGGCUGCUUCAAUACUUUAUUUCAUUUUGUUUAAGAAAAAAAUCACAGGGAUUUAGAAUGUAGUCAAUCAAAUGUAUGAAUGUUGUAUAGCCAUACAGAUAUCUUGCUGUUUCGCAUCUAUGUGGAUAAUCUGGAAUGGACUGCUGAAGCCUGAAUAAGUGAAUUACUCUGUUUUACCA